GACGAACGCUGGCGGCGUGCUUAACACAUGCAAGUCGAGCGGUAAGGCCCUUUCGGGGGUACACGAGCGGCGAACGGGUGAGUAACACGUGGGUGACCUGCCCUUAGCUCUGGGAUAAGCCUGGGAAACUGGGUCUAAUACCGGAUAUGACCUCAUGACUCAUGUUGUGGGGUGGAAAGCCUUGUGCGGCUAGGGAUGGGCCCGCGGCCUAUCAGCUUGUUGGUGGGGUAAUUGCCACCAAGGCGACGACGGGUAGCCGGCCUGAGAGGGCGACCGGCCACACUGGGACUGAGACACGGCCCAGACUCCUACGGGAGGCAGCAGUGGGGAAUCUUGCGCAAUGGGCGAAAGCCUGACGCAGCGACGCCGCGUGAGGGAUGACGGCCUGUGUAACUCUU
rnacentral:rRNA from 1 species